rnacentral:misc_RNA from 1 species
CAAAUCAUAUACUGCCAAUGCCACCAGCAAAACCCAUGUAGUCCACUCUGGUAACUUGGUAAACCAAACUGCCACGAAUAUCCCUAAAGCUACCAUAUAUCCUUGCCUAAGAAAAAUAGGUAUCCCACCCGCAAACACCGAUAAUACACCCACAAUUGUAAAAUUAAAUAACAGAAUAAUACAAGUAAUUGAAUCAACAGGAAUUGAGAAAUGCUGAAUCAAUGACAAAAAAAUUGAGCCCCCCAUUGUACCUAACACGAAAAAGGCCGAGAAGCGCAUGUAAUUCUUCAAGAAGUUUGUAAAAUUAUAAUAGUAUAAGAGAACCAGAAGAAAAGUAGAGACGGCAAUGAGAAUAACAAACACCAGCGCAUUGAGUAGCGCGCCUUCCAGCUUCUGGGCAGCGGAAUCGGAAGGGCUCUCGAGGUAGACGAGGUUGGCAGCGGUGCGGAUCGUCGGGGCUGAGGAAGCGACCAAAAAAGGGUUUGAUGGGGAGAGGGAAUAGACAAUGAGAACAACCAAAAACAUACAAAUUGAAACUGGAGACAUCACGCCUAUUAUCUCGACUCCGAUGGAUUCCAAAAUGCUCGACUCCAUGGUUAGCUUGAUUUUGGUUGAGGAAUUUCGUCGAGCAAGUGGUAAGUGUUUGGGGCGGGAUUGGGAAUUUUAAGGCAUUUGGGAGACCUGAGGGG